rnacentral:rRNA from 1 species
GAUGAACGCUAGCUACAGGCUUAACACAUGCAAGUCGAGGGGAAACGACAUCGAAAGCUUGCUUUUGAUGGGCGUCGACCGGCGCACGGGUGAGUAACGCGUAUCCAACCUGCCCAUCACUUGGGAAUAACCUUGCGAAAGUAAGACUAAUACCCAAUGAUAUCCCACGAAGGCAUCGGAAUGGGAUUAAAGAUUUAUCGGUGAUGGAUGGGGAUGCGUCUGAUUAGCUUGUUGGCGGGGUAACGGCCCACCAAGGCAACGAUCAGUAGGGGUUCUGAGAGGAAGGUCCCCCACAUUGGAACUGAGACACGGUCCAAACUCCUACGGGAGGCAGCAGUGAGGAAUAUUGGUCAAUGGGCGAGAGCCUGAACCAGCCAAGUAGCGUGCAGGAAGACGGCCCUAUGGGUUGUAAACUGCUUUUAUAAGGGAAUAAAGUGGGUCACGUGUGACUUUUUGCAUGUACCUUAUGAAUAAGGACCGGCUAAGUCCGUG